GGGAGACCAGUAACUGAGUUGUAGGGGGGAGACCAGUAACUGAGAUAUAGGUGGAGACCCCUAACUGAGUUGUAGUGGGGAGACCCGUAACUGAGUUGUAUGGGGGAGACCAGUAACUGAGUUGUAUGGGGGAGACCAGUAACUGAGUUGUAGGGGGGAGACCAGUAAAUUAGUUAUAGUGGGGAGACCAGUAAUUUAGUUGUAGGGGGAGACCAGUAACUGAGUUGUAGUGGGGAGACCAGUAACUGAGUUGUAGUGGGGAGACCCGUAACUGAGUUGUAGUGGGGAAACCAGUAACUGAGUUGUAGGGGGGAGGGCAGUAACUGAGUUGUAGGGGGAGACCCGUAACUGAGUUGUAGUGGGGAGACCAGUAACUGAGUUGUAGGGGGGAGACUAGUAACUGAGUUGUAGUGGGGAGACCAGUAACUGAGUUGUAGUGGGGAGACCAGUAACUGAGUUGUAGUGGGGAGACCAGUAACUGAGUUGUAGUGGGGACACCAGUAACUGAGUUGUAGUGGGGACACCAGUAACUGAGUUGUAGGGGGGAGACCAGUAUCUGAGUUGUAGUGGGGAGACCCGUAACUGAGUUGUAGUGGGGAGACCAGUAACUGAGUUGUAGUGGGGACACCAGUAACUGAGUUGUAGUGGGGACACCAGUAACUGAGUUGUAGUGGGGACACCAGUAACUGAGUUGUAGGGGGGAGACCAGUAUCUGAGUUGUAGGGGGGAGACCAGUAACUGCAAGAUAAAUCACAGGCUGCAAAUGGCUUCUUCUCCUCAGCAGUUCAGACAGCCUUCAUCUGUCUGUGUGGGAGCACCAUUAGUCUCA
rnacentral:lncRNA from 1 species